rnacentral:rRNA from 1 species
UUGACCCGGCGAUGUCCGAAUGGGGAAACCCAGUGUGUUCCGACACACUAUCGUUAACUGAAUACAUAGGUUAACGAGGCGAACCGGGGGAACUGAAACAUCUAAGUACCCCGAGGAAAAGAAAUCAACCGAGAUUCCCCCAGUAGCGGCGAGCGAACGGGGAGCAGCCCGGAGUCUGAAUCAGCUUGUGUGUUAGUGGAACGGUCUGGAAAGUCCGACGGUACAGGGUGAUAGUCCCGUACACGAAAAUGCACAUGCUGUGAACUCGAAGAGUAGGGCGGGACACGUGGUAUCCUGUCUGAAUAUGGGGGGACCAUCCUCCAAGGCUAAAUACUCCUGACUGACCGAUAGUGAACCAGUACCGUGAGGGAAAGGCGAAAAGAACCCCGGCGAGGGGAGUGAAAAAGAACCUGAAACCGUGUACGUACAAGCAGUGGGAGCACCUUCGGGUGUGACUGCGUACCUUUUGUAUAAUGGGUCAGCGACUUAUAUUCUGUAGCAAGGUUAACCGUAUAGGGGAGCCGAAGGGAAACCGAGUCUUAACUGGGCGUUAAGUUGCAGGGUAUAGACCCGAAACCCGGUGAUCUAGCCAUGGGCAGGUUGAAGGUUGGGUAACACUAACUGGAGGACCGAACCGACUAAUGUUGAAAAAUUAGCGGAUGACCUGUGGCUGGGGGUGAAAGGCCAAUCAAACCGGGAGAUAGCUGGUUCUCCCCGAAAGCUAUUUAGGUAGCGCCUCGUGAACUCAUCUUCGGGGGUAGAGCACUGUUUCGGCUAGGGGGCCAUCCCGGCUUACCAACCCGAUGCAAACUACGAAUACCGAAGAAUGUUAUCACGGGAGACACACGGCGGGUGCUAACGUCCGUCGUGAAGAGGGAAACAACCCAGACCGCCAGCUAAGGUCCCAAAGUCAUGGUUAAGUGGGAAACGAUGUGGGAAGGCACAGACAGCCAGGAUGUUGGCUUAGAAGCAGCCAUCAUUUAAAGAAAGCGUAAUAGCUCACUGGUCGAGUCGGCCUGCGCGGAAGAUGUAACGGGGCUAAACCAUGCACCGAAGCUGCGGCAGCGACGCUUAUGCGUUGUUGGGUAGGGGAGCGUUCUGUAAGCCGUUGAAGGUGUGCUGUGAGGCAUGCUGGAGGUAUCAGAAGUGCGAAUGCUGACAUAAGUAACGAUAAAGCGGGUGAAAAGCCCGCUCGCCGGAAGACCAAGGGUUCCUGUCCAACGUUAAUCGGGGCAGGGUGAGUCGACCCCUAAGGCGAGGCCGAAAGGCGUAGUCGAUGGGAAACAGGUUAAUAUUCCUGUACUUGGUGUUACUGCGAAGGGGGGACGGAGAAGGCUAUGUCAGCCGGGCGACGGUUGUCCCGGUUUAAGCAUGUAGGCGGAGGUUCCAGGUAAAUCCGGUACCUUAUUAACGCUGAGGUGUGAUGACGAGGCACUACGGUGCUGAAGUGAUAAAUGCCCUGCUUCCAGGAAAAGCCUCUAAGCAUCAGGUAACACGAAAUCGUACCCCAAACCGACACAGGUGGUCAGGUAGAGAAUACCAAGGCGCUUGAGAGAACUCGGGUGAAGGAACUAGGCAAAAUGGUGCCGUAACUUCGGGAGAAGGCACGCUGAUAUGUAGGUGAAGCCCCUGCGGGCGGAGCUGAAAUCAGUCGAAGAUACCAGCUGGCUGCAACUGUUUAUUAAAAACACAGCACUGUGCAAACACGAAAGUGGACGUAUACGGUGUGACGCCUGCCCGGUGCCGGAAGGUUAAUUGAUGGGGUUAGCGGCAACGCGAAGCUCUUGAUCGAAGCCCCGGUAAACGGCGGCCGUAACUAUAACGGUCCUAAGGUAGCGAAAUUCCUUGUCGGGUAAGUUCCGACCUGCACGAAUGGCGUAAUGAUGGCCAGGCUGUCUCCACCCGAGACUCAGUGAAAUUGAACUCGCUGUGAAGAUGCAGUGUACCCGCGGCAAGACGGAAAGACCCCGUGAACCUUUACUAUAGCUUGACACUGAACACUGGUCCUUGAUGUGUAGGAUAGGUGGGAGGCUUUGAAGCGUGGACGCCAGUCUGCGUGGAGCCGCCCUUGAAAUACCACCCUUUAAUGGCUGGUGUUCUAACGUAGACCCGUGAUCCGGGUUGCGGACAGUGUCUGGUGGGUAGUUUGACUGGGGCGGUCUCCUCCCAAAGAGUAACGGAGGAGCACGAAGGUUGGCUAAUCCUGGUCGGACAUCAGGAGGUUAGUGCAAUGGCAUAAGCCAGCUUGACUGCGAGCGUGACGGCGCGAGCAGGUGCGAAAGCAGGUCAUAGUGAUCCGGUGGUUCUGAAUGGAAGGGCCAUCGCUCAACGGAUAAAAGGUACUCCGGGGAUAACAGGCUGAUACCGCCCAAGAGUUCAUAUCGACGGCGGUGUUUGGCACCUCGAUGUCGGCUCAUCACAUCCUGGGGCUGAAGUAGGUCCCAAGGGUAUGGCUGUUCGCCAUUUAAAGUGGUACGCGAGCUGGGUUUAGAACGUCGUGAGACAGUUCGGUCCCUAUCUGCCGUGGGCGCUGGAGAAUUGAGGGGGGCUGCUCCUAGUACGAGAGGACCGGAGUGGACGCAUCACUGGUGUUCGGGUUGUCAUGCCAAUGGCACUGCCCGGUAGCUAAAUGCGGAAGAGAUAAGUGCUGAAAGCAUCUAAGCACGAAACUUGCCCCGAGAUGAGUUCUCCCUGAGAC